UGAGGGUUGAUAGGUUAAGAGCUGAUUGAAUGGACGUUACCCACAGAAGAAGCACCGGCUAACUCCGUGCCAGCAGCCGCGGUAAUACGGAGGGUGCGAGCGUUAAUCGGAAUUACUGGGCGUAAAGCGUGCGUAGGUGGUUUAAUAAGUUAUCUGUGAAAUCCCUGGGCUCAACCUGGGCAGGUCAGAUAAUACUGGUUGACUUGAGUAUGGUAGAGGGUAGUGGAAUUUCCGGUGUAGCGGUGAAAUGCGUAGAGAUCGGAAAGAACACCGGUGGCGAAGGCGGCUACCUGGACUAAUACUGACACUGAGGCACGAAAGCGUGGGGAGCAAACAGGAUUAGAUACCCUGGUAGUCCACGCCGUAAACGAUGUCAACUAGCUGUUGGUUAUAUAAAAAUAAUUAGUGGCGCAGCAAACGCGAUAAGUUGACC
rnacentral:rRNA from 1 species